rnacentral:rRNA from 1 species
GAUAAACGCUGGCGGCGUGCAUAACACAUGCAAGUCGAACGAUGAAGAUUAAAAGAUUUCUUCGGAAUGAACUUAAUUGGAUUAGUGGCGGACGGGUGAGUAACGCGUGAGUAACCUGCCUUGUACAAGGGGAUAGCCGUUGGAAACGACGAAUAAUACCCUAUGACAUCAAAUAAUCGCAUGAUAAUUUGAUCAAAGAUUUAUCGGUAUAAGAUGGACUCGCGUCUGAUUAGCUAGUUGGUAGAGUAAAAGCCUACCAAGGCAACGAUCAGUAGCCGGCUUGAGAGAGUGUACGGCCACAUUGGGACUGAGACACGGCCCAGACUCCUACGGGAGGCAGCAGUGGGGAAUUUUGCACAAUGGGGGAAACCCUGAUGCAGCGACGCCGCGUGAUUGAGAAGGCCUUCGGGUUGUAAAAAUCUUUUGUAUGGGAAGAAAAUGACAGUACCAUACGAAUAAGAACCGGCUAAUUACGUG